rnacentral:rRNA from 1 species
AGCGGCGGACGGGUGAGUAACGCGUGGGUAACCUGCCCUGUACAAACGGAUAAUAUACCGAAAGGUAUGCUAAUACGAGAUAAUAUGCUUUUAUCGCAUGGUAGAAGUAUCAAAGCUUUUGCGGUACAGGAUGGACCCGCGUCUGAUUAGCUAGUUGGUAAGGUAACGGCUUACCAAGGCGACGAUCAGUAGCCGACCUGAGAGGGUGAUCGGCCACAUUGGAACUGAGACACGGUCCAAACUCCUACGGGAGGCAGCAGUGGGGAAUAUUGCACAAUGGGCGAAAGCCUGAUGCAGCAACGCCGCGUGAGCGAUGAAGGCCUUCGGGUCGUAAAGUUCUGUCCUCAAGGAAGAUAAUGACGGUACUUGAGGAGGAAGCCCCGGCUAACUACGUGCCAGCAGCCGCGGUAAUACGUAGGGGGCUAGCGUUAUCCGGAUUUACUGGGCGUAAAGGGUGCGUAGGUGGUUUCUUAAGUCAGAGGUGAAAGGCUACGGCUCAACCGUAGUAAGCCUUUGAAACUGGGAAACUUGAGUGCAGGAGAGGAGAGUGGAACUCCUAGUGUAGCGGUGAAAUGCGUAGAUAUUAGGAGGAACACCAGUUGCGAAGGCGGCUCUCUGGACUGUAACUGACACUGAGGCACGAAAGCGUGGGGAGCAAACAGGAUUAGAUACCCUGGUAGUCCACGCCGUAAACGAUGAGUACUAGCUGU